rnacentral:rRNA from 1 species
UCUCGAAAGAGAGAUUAACACCGCAUAACAUCAUUUACCGGCAUCGGUUGAUGAUCAAAUAUUUAUAGGAUAUGGAUGGGCUCGCGUGACAUUAGCUAGUUGGAGGGGUAACGGCCCACCAAGGCUACGAUGUCUAGGGGCUCUGAGAGGAGAAUCCCCCACACUGGUACUGAGACACGGACCAGACUCCUACGGGAGGCAGCAGUAAGGAAUAUUGGUCAAUGGAGGGAACUCUGAACCAGCCAUGCCGCGUGCAGGAUGACUGCCCUAUGGGUUGUAAACUGCUUUUGUCAGGGAAUAAACCUUUCCACGUGUGGGAAGCUGAAUGUACCUGAAGAAUAAGGAUCGGCUAACUCCGUGCCAGCAGCCGCGGUAAUACGGAGGAUCCAAGCGUUAUCCGGAUUUAUUGGGUUUAAAGGGUGCGUAGGCGGUCCUAUAAGUCAGUGGUGAAAGACGGCAGCUUAACUGUCGCAGUGCCUUUGAUACUGUAGGACUUGAAUCUAUUUGAAGUGGGCGGAAUAAGACAAGUAGCGGUGAAAUGCAUAGAUAUGUCUUAGAACUCCGAUUGCGAAGGCAGCUCACUAAGUUAGUAUUGACGCUGAUGCACGAAAGCGUGGGGAUCAAACAGGAUUAGAUACCCUGGUAGUCCACGCCCUAAACGAUGAUAACUCGAUGUUUGCGAUACACAGUAAGCGUCCAAGCGAAAGCGUUAAGUUAUCCACCUGGGGAGUACGGUCGCAAGAUUGAAACUCAAAGGAAUUGACGGGGGCCCGCACAAGCGGAGGAGCAUGUGGUUUAAUUCGAUGAUACGCGAGGAACCUUACCCGGGCUUGAAAGUUAGUGAAUGAUCCAGAGACGGAUCAGUCCUUCGGGACACGAAACUAGGUGCUGCAUGGCUGUCGUCAGCUCGUGCCGUGAGGUGUUGGGUUAAGUCCCGCAACGAGCGCAACCCCUAUGUUUAGUUGCCAGCACAUUAAGGUGGGGACUCUAAACAGACUGCCAGCGUAAGCUGUGAGGAAGGUGGGGACGACGUCAAGUCAUCAUGGCCCUUACGUCCGGGGCUACACACGUGCUACAAUGGAUGGUACAGCGGGCAGCUACAUAGCAAUAUGGUGCUAAUCUCUAAAAGCCAUUCACAGUUCGGAUUGAGGUCUGCAACUCGACCUCAUGAAGUUGGAUUCGCUAGUAAUCGCGUAUCAGCAAUGACGCGGUGAAUACGUUCCCGGGC